rnacentral:rRNA from 1 species
AGAGAGAGACAUGCGCGCAUAUCAAUAAGCGGAGGAAAAGAAACUAACAAGGAUUCCCCUAGUAACGGCGAGUGAAGCGGGAAGAGCUCAAAUUUGAAAUCUUAAAGGGUUUCCCUUUACGAAUUGUAGUUUAAAGAAGUGUUUUCUGUUGAGGUUUUGGUAAAAGUUCUUUGGAAUAGGACAUCAUAGAGGGUGAGAAUCCCGUAUUUGACCUUUACUUUCAACUUUGUGAUACACUUUCAAAGAGUCGGAUUGUUUGGGAAUGCAGUCCAAAAUGGGUGGUAAAUUUCAUCUAAAGCUAAAUAUUGGCGAGAGACCGAUAGCGAACAAGUACCGUGAGGGAAAGAUGAAAAGAACUUUGAAAAGAGAGUUAAACAGUACGUGAAAUUGUCAAAAGGGAAGCGUUUGACACCAGUGUUGUUUUUCUGAAAAUCAAUUAAAGAACUGUUUAUGCUAAGUUGUUUAGACUUUAUCAGCUAACUGUUUAGUUUUGAGCUUUUCUUUAAUGCACUUUUCAGUUAACAAGUCAACAUCAAUUUCUUUUGCUGUAAAAAAGCUUGAGGAAGGUGGCUUGAGAUUCGUCUUAAGUGUUUAUAGCCUCUUGCCUAUGCAGUCGGAGAGACUGAGGUCUGCAGUGUAGAUCCUUCGGGAUUAAAUGCAUUUGUGCUAAGUUACUAGCCUUUUAUAGACAACUUGUUGACUAUGAUUCGAUCCUGUAGCUUACUCGCUUAUGUAUUUUACCUACGCUUAGGAUGUUGAGCGCAUGUCUCUCUCU